rnacentral:sRNA from 1 species
GGAGCCUCCCCUUCUCUCGCCACAUCUUGCUCGUCCACGGCAUCCACUUCCUCCUUCUCCGAACCAGCAGAACCCAGGUAGUGCUCUCAAAAAACCCCCUUGAAGCCUGGCUGCAGCCUGGUCCCAGCCUCCUUCCCUGAGUAUCCAGUGGGCAGGAGACGGGGGAUAAUGCAGUGAAUCCUGUUUGUCCCUGAGCCUUGACCUUCUUGGCAGGUUGGGUUCAACCAAAGGGAAGGAGCCAAGAGCCUCAAAGGACCAGGUGCUUUCAGACCCUGAGACCAAGGUAGGCAUUCAGAUCGGGUAGAAGAGACUAGUGGGGGCCUGAGCCCAUGUCACUCUUUCACCCUCUGCCCCAUUUUUGCAGACCACGGGAAAGGUUUCUCGAUUCAGAAUACGCAGAACACCAGCCCGUCCUCAGCUAAACCUUACACCAAUGGGACUGCCUCGACCAAUCAGGUUGAACAAGAAAGAGUUCAGCUUGGAAGAAAUUUACACCAACAAGAAUUACCAAUCACCCACAACCAGGAGGACCUUCGAGACCAUCUUUGAGGAACCCCGGGAGCGCAAUGGGACUCUGAUUUUCACCAGCUCAAGGAAGCUCCGGCGGGCUGUGGAAUUUCGGGACAGCAGCCUUCCUCGAUCACGGAGGCCGUCCCGUGGGGUCCGGGCUGCAGGGGGCAGGACUGUUCCUCCCAAUGUGGCCCCCAGCCCUGAUGUGGGCCCCCUGCUCCAGCAGCGGCUGGAGGAGCUAGAUGCCUUGCUCCUGGAGGAAGAAACAGUAGAUCGGGAGCAGCCCCACUGGACCUAGGUGCCCCAUCUGUUGGUCAUCCAUCCUGAAGGGACAGGAAACCUCCCAAGCAGUUAUUUUUUUUCUCUAUAUUUCUAGUAAAGUUUUCGAUAUGUU